GACGAACGCUGGCGGCGUGCCUAAUACAUGCAAGUAGAACGCACAGUUUAUACCGUAGCUUGCUACACCAUAAACUGUGAGUUGCGAACGGGUGGGUAACGCGUAGGUAACCUGCCUGGUAGCGGGGGAUAACUAUUGGAAACGAUAGCUAAUACCGCAUAAUAUUAAUUAUUGCAUGAUAAUUGAUUGAAAGAUGCAAUUGCAUCACUACCAGAUGGACCUGCGUUGUAUUAGCUAGUAGGUGAGGUAACGGCUCACCUAGGCGACGAUACAUAGCCGACCUGAGAGGGUGAUCGGCCACACUGGGACUGAGACACGGCCCAGACUCCUACGGGAGGCAGCAGUAGGGAAUCUUCGGCAAUGGACGAAAGUCUGACCGAGCAACGCCGCGUGAGUGAAGAAGGUUUUCGGAUCGUAAAGCUCUGUUGUAAGAGAAGAACGGGUGUGAGAGUGGAAAGUUCACACUGUGACGGUAUCUUACCAGAAAGGGACGGCUAACUACGUG
rnacentral:rRNA from 1 species